AAAUUGAAGAGUUUGAUCAUGGCUCAGAUUGAACGCUGGCGGCAGGCCUAACACAUGCAAGUCGAGCGGUAGCACAGAGAGCUUGCUCUCGGGUGACGAGCGGCGGACGGGUGAGUAAUGUCUGGGAAACUGCCUGAUGGAGGGGGAUAACUACUGGAAACGGUAGCUAAUACCGCAUAACGUCGCAAGACCAAAGUGGGGGACCUUCGGGCCUCAUGCCAUCAGAUGUGCCCAGAUGGGAUUAGCUAGUAGGUGGGGUAACGGCUCACCUAGGCGACGAUCCCUAGCUGGUCUGAGAGGAUGACCAGCCACACUGGAACUGAGACACGGUCCAGACUCCUACGGGAGGCAGCAGUGGGGAAUAUUGCACAAUGGGCGCAAGCCUGAUGCAGCCAUGCCGCGUGUGUGAAGAAGGCCUUCGGGUUGUAAAGCACUUUCAGCGGGGAGGAAGGCGGUGAGGUUAAUAACCUCAUCGAUUGACGUUACCCGCAGAAGAAGCACCGGCUAACUCCGUGCCAGCAGCCGCGGUAAUACGGAGGGUGCAAGCGUUAAUCGGAAUUACUGGGCGUAAAGCGCACGCAGGCGGUCUGUCAAGUCGGAUGUGAAAUCCCCGGGCUCAACCUGGGAACUGCAUUCGAAACUGGCAGGCUAGAGUCUUGUAGAGGGGGGUAGAAUUCCAGGUGUAGCGGUGAAAUGCGUAGAGAUCUGGAGGAAUACCGGUGGCGAAGGCGGCCCCCUGGACAAAGACUGACGCUCAGGUGCGAAAGCGUGGGGAGCAAACAGGAUUAGAUACCCUGGUAGUCCACGCCGUAAACGAUGUCGAUUUGGAGGUUGUGCCCUUGAGGCGUGGCUUCCGGAGCUAACGCGUUAAAUCGACCGCCUGGGGAGUACGGCCGCAAGGUUAAAACUCAAAUGAAUUGACGGGGGCCCGCACAAGCGGUGGAGCAUGUGGUUUAAUUCGAUGCAACGCGAAGAACCUUACCCGGGUCUUGACAUCCACAGAACUUUCCAGAGAUGGAUUGGUGCCUUCGGGAACUGUGAGACAGGUGCUGCAUGGCUGUCGUCAGCUCGUGUUGUGAAAUGUUGGGUUAAGUCCCGCAACGAGCGCAACCCUUAUCCUUUGUUGCCAGCGGUUAGGCCGGGAACUCAAAGGAGACUGCCAGUGAUAAACUGGAGGAAGGUGGGGAUGACGUCAAGUCAUCAUGGCCCUUACGACCAGGGCUACACACGUGCUACAAUGGCAUAUACAAAGAGAAGCGACCUCGCGAGAGCAAGCGGACCUCAUAAAGUAUGUCGUAGUCCGGAUUGGAGUCUGCAACUCGACUCCAUGAAGUCGGAAUCGCUAGUAAUCGUAGAUCAGAAUGCUACGGUGAAUACGUUCCCGGGCCUUGUACACACCGCCCGUCACACCAUGGGAGUGGGUUGCAAAAGAAGUAGGUAGCUUAACCUUCGGGAGGGCGCUUACCACUUUGUGAUUCAUGACUGGGGUGAAGUCGUAACAAGGUAACCGUAGGGGAACCUGCGGUUGGAUCACCUCCUUA
rnacentral:rRNA from 1 species